rnacentral:rRNA from 1 species
AUACGGGGGUGCCUUCGGGAGCUGUGAGACAGGUGCUGCAUGGCUGUCGUCAGCUCGUGUUGUGAAAUGUUGGGUUAAGUCCCGCAACGAGCGCAACCCUUAUCCUUUGUUGCCAGCGGUCCGGCCGGGAACUCAAAGGAGACUGCCAGUGAUAAACUGGAGGAAGGUGGGGAUGACGUCAAGUCAUCAUGGCCCUUACGACCAGGGCUACACACGUGCUACAAUGGCGCAUACAAAGAGAAGCGACCUCGCGAGAGCAAGCGGACCUCAUAAAGUGCGUCGUAGUCCGGACUGGAGUCUGCAACUCGACUCCAUGAAGUCGGAAUCGCUAGUAAUCGUGGAUCAGAAUGCCACGGUGAAUACGUUCCCGGGCCUUGUACACACCGCCCGUCACACCAUGGGAGUGGGUUGCAAAAGAAGUAGGUAGCUUAACCUUCGGGAGGGCGCUUACCACUUUGUGAUUCAUGACUGGGGUGAAGUCGUAACAAGGUAACCGUAGGGGAACCUGCGGUUGGA